ACGGAAGGCAGCAGUGGGGAAUAUUGCACAAUGGGGGAAACCCUGAUGCAGCGAUGCCGCGUGAAGGAAGAAGUUCUUCGGUAUGUAAAGCUCUAUCAGCAAGGAAGAAAAUGACGGUACUUGACUAAGAAGCUCCGGCUAAAUACGUGCCAGCAGCCGCGGUAAUACGUAGGGGGCAAGCGUUAUCCGGAUUUACUGGGUGUAAAGGGUGUGUAGGCGGCAAGGCAAGUCAGAAGUGAAAUGCCGGGGCUCAACUCCGGAGCUGCUUUUGAAACUGCCAUGCUGGAGUCCAGGAGAGGCAGGCGGAAUUCCUAGUGUAGCGGUGAAAUGCGUAGAUAUUAGGAAGAACACCAGUGGCGAAGGCGGCCUGCUGGACUGGAACUGACGCUGAGGCACGAAAGCGUGGGGAGCAAACAGGAUUAGAUACCCUGGUA
rnacentral:rRNA from 1 species